UACGUAGGGGGCAAGCGUUGUCCGGAAUUAUUGGGCGUAAAGAGCGCGUAGGCGGUCCGAUAAGUCGGCUGUGAAAGUCAGGGGCUCAACCCUUUAAAGCCGGCCGAUACUGUCGGACUAGAGUCCGGAAGAGGCAAGUGGAAUUCCCGGUGUAGCGGUGAAAUGCGCAGAUAUCUGGAGGAACACCGGUGGCGAAGGCGGCAUCCUGGACCAACACUGACGCUGAGGAGCGAAAGCCAGGGGAGCAAACGGG
rnacentral:rRNA from 1 species